rnacentral:rRNA from 1 species
GGGCCUAAAGCAUCCGUAGCCGGCUCUGUAAGUUUUCGGUUAAAUCCAUGUGCUCAACGCAUGGGCUGCCGAAAAUACUGCAUAGCUAGGGAGUGGGAGAGGUAGACGGUACUCGGUAGGAAGGGGUAAAAUCCUUUGAUCUAUCGAUGACCACCUG